GUUCCCGAUGAUGUUUUUUGUUUUUUACCAUGCUAAUGCUGAAAUUCUUUGGUGAACCUUUAAUGUGUAUCCUGAGGGAACG